rnacentral:rRNA from 1 species
AGUGGCAGACGGGUGAGUAAUGUAUAGGAAUCUACCUAGUAGUACGGAAUAAUUGUUGGAAACGGCAACUAAUACCGUAUACGCCCUACGGGGGAAAGAUUUAUCGCUAUUAGAUGAGCCUAUAUUAGAUUAGCUAGUUGGUAAGGUAAUGGCUUACCAAGGCAAUGAUCUAUAGCUGAUCUGAGAGGAUGAUCAGCCACACUGGAACUGAGAUACGGUCCAGACUCCUACGGGAGGCAGCAGUGGGGAAUAUUGGACAAUGGGCGAAAGCCUGAUCCAGCCAUGCCGCAUGAGUGAAGAAGGCCUUUGGGUUGUAAAGCUCUUUCGGUGAGGAAGAUAAUGACGGUACUCACAGAAGAAGUCCUGGCUAACUCCGUGCCAGCAGCCGCGGUAAUACGGAGAGGGCUAGCGUUAUUCGGAAUUAUUGGGCGUAAAGAGCGCGUAGGCUGGUUAGUAAGUUAAAAGUGAAAUCCCAAAGCUCAACUUUGGAAUUGCUUUUAAAACUGCUAACCUAGAGAUUGAAAGAGGAUAGAGGAAUUCCUAGUGUAGAGGUGAAAUUCGUAAAUAUUANGAGGAACACCAGUGGCGAA